GAGCAGCAAGGUGGAGAGGAUGAAUGACGUGCUGGGAUGUCUUGAGACCUGCUUUCAGGGCUUAUGUUGUUAAACACAAAGCUCCUGUUUUUAAGGAACGUUCAAAAAGACUUCUUGACUAGAAAUACUUCAUUCAGUACCUAGAAGUAAGAUAGCAUUCUUGAAGUCCUCUACCCGCCAUGGGUGAAUCACUGUAUUUAGCAACAAUGAUUUUUCUGUUUGUUA